rnacentral:misc_RNA from 1 species
GAUGAAGAACGUAGCGAAAUGCGAUACGUAAUGUGAAUUGCAGAAUUCAGUGAAUCAUCGAAUCUUUGAACGCAUAUUGCGCUCUCUGGUAUUCCGGAGAGCAUGCUUGUUUGAGUAUCAGUAAACACCUCAACUCCCUUUUCUUUUUUGAAAUUGGAGCUGGACUUGAGUGAUCCCAACGCUUUCUUCCAAGAAAGUGGCGGGUUGCUUGAAAUGCAGGUGCAGCUGAACUUUUCUCUGAGCUAUAAGCAUAUCUAUUUAGUCUGCCUAAAAAACAGAUUAUUACCUAUGCUGCAGCUAACAUAAAGGAGACUAGUUCUUGUGCUGACUGAUGCAGGAUUCACAGAGACAGCUUCGGCUGACUUUGUAAACUCGAUCUCAAAUCAAGUAAGACUACCCGCUGAACUUAAGCAUAUCAAUAAGCGGAGGA